rnacentral:rRNA from 1 species
UACGGGGGGGGCAAGCGUUGUUCGGAAUUACUGGGCGUAAAGGGCGCGUAGGCGCCUGCUAAGUCGGAUGUGAAAUCCCUCGGCUCAACCGAGGAACUGCAUCCGAUACUGGCGGGCUUGAAUCCGGGAGAGGGAUGUGGAAUUCCAGGGUGUAGCGGUGAAAUGGACGUAGAUAUCUGGAGGAACACCGGUGGCGAAGGCGGCAUCCUGGACCGGUAUUGACGCUGAGGCGCGAAAGCUGAGG